CCUACGGGAGGCAGCAGUGGGGAAUAUUGGGCAAUGGGCGCAAGCCUGACCCAGCAACGCCGCGUGCAGGAAGAAGGCUUUCGGGUUGUAAACUUCUUUUCUCAGGGACGAAGAAAGUGACGGUACCUGAGGAAUAAGCCACGGCUAACUACGUGCCAGCAGCCGCGGUAAUCCGUAGGUGGCAAGCGUUAUCCGGAUUUAUUGGGUGUAAAGGGCGUGUAGGCGGGAGGGCAAGGUAGAUGUGAAAACUCAGGGCUCAACCCUGAGCCUGCAUUUGAAACUGUGUUUCUUGAGUGCCGGGGAGGCAGUCGGAAUUCGGGGUGUAGCGGUGAAAUGCGUAGAUAUGCGGAGGAACACCAGUGGCGAAGGCGGAUUGCUGGAGAGUAACUGACGCUGAGGCGCGAAAGCGUGGGUAGCGAACAGGAUUAGAUACCCCUGUAGUC
rnacentral:rRNA from 1 species